CGCCACCCUGUCCCACUUAUGAUCUGACUUCUCUCUCUGCUUUGUUUGGCAUGAGUGUGAUCCUGAAGGAGGAGGAAUAAAAAAAAAAAAGUUUGGUUUUUUUCCCUCCCUUGUAGCUCUUUAUGUCUGAAGAAAAACAUUGAAUCCUGAGUAUUUCUGAUUGGUCGUCUGGUGAAUGAUCCUGUUAGAUAUCAUUUCCAUUCAUUAGCUGCUGUAAUUAGGAUUAAUUGGUUUCAUCAAUCACUGUAAUAAUUAUAGCCGUUAGCAAAAUUGAAGCUUUAGGCGGGAAUGGACGAGGUUUUGUUGGAUUUUUUGGAAGAGUUUUGAAUCAGGUUUGUCAGGUGGAGAUUAUUGAUAAUCAGGUUUGGUUGAAAGGUCACGAAGCUGCUGUAAAAAAAAAAAAAGAAAAAGAAAAAAUAGAGGAUUUGAAU